UUUCGAGCUGCCAACCUUUGCAUUCUGAUUCUCUAACAGUUUUAAAAGUAAUUGAAAUCUCAUAGGUUUUUCAUUGAACUAUAUAACAAUCGCCGUUGUUUGUGUACGUGAGCUUGCAAUUAAACAUGAGCAUUUUAGUCAUGGGGUUUGAAGCGACUCAUAAGAAGUAUGGGAUCUCAAAAAGAACUGAAGGCUUUAGAAACAAUCAUAUACGCUUACUACUUACAGGUACUCACUAUUUAUUUUUUGUUCAUUCAAGAUAACUGUUGCGCAUUUUAAAUUCAAGUCUUUGCUU